rnacentral:lncRNA from 1 species
GACUGGCCAUCAAGAAACAAACUAGUGAUAAUGUCUAUAACUAACAAUCUUGAUUCUAUAGUUGGCAAGAAAAUUUUUCUUCAAACAAAUGACUAAGACGUGGCUUAAUGACUUAAAAAAUUAGGCUUGACAAUCCUACAGAUUUUAACUAACAACUUACGGACUCAACCUCCAAAUAAAAUAUGUACGAAGAAAAUCCCAAGAUAAUCAAGCUAAAUCGGAGA